rnacentral:lncRNA from 1 species
UUAAUUUUUAUAUAUAAUCAAGAGUUGGACUGGGCUACUAUUAAUAGCAAAAUUCCAUUGUUGCUACCAGUUUUUUAGCUUUUGGAUCAACUUUUUUCAUUAUUUCUAACCAUGGAUUAAAUACUAUAACCCAGUGGGGACCACUCAAUCCUAAGGGGACCACUCAACUCUAACCGACUAAUAUCAUCCCGACUGUACAAUUUUCAUCCAAGAGUUAAAAACUUGAUAGCAAAAAGAGCGUUUUACUAUUAAUAGUAUUCCAGCCUAAUUCUAUUUAAUUACUAGAUAAACUUAAUUGCCAUCAGUAGCUAGAGAAGGGAAAGUAUUAAGUAUAUAAAGCAUCUUUUGGGAAUGUAUCUCGGUUGCUUUUAGAAGUACGAUGGCCUUUAUACUUUCAUUACUAUUUUGUUUUUUUUUUUUUUUGAGAGAGAAAGGUAGCAUGCUACCCGCUUCGUUUAUUUCAUUUAGAAAUAAACUUAGCUGGAAAUGUGAAUCAAUUAGGAUUCGAACUUGCGUCUUGGGUACCAACCACCAACCCCUUUUGCCACUUGCGCUAGGGAUGAUCGGUUCCAUUAUUAUUUUGUUGAUUCGAAUCAAUAGUUACCAUAGUUUUGAUUGAGUUGGCGGUAUUAGAUAUAAGUUUGAAUCGUAGUUAUUUGAUUGUAAUAAGAAUUUGUGGUAGUAUUAGUUUGAUUUUAGUUAUUUAAAACUUAUUUUUUUGGCCCAUAGGCUUCCUGGGCGGCCCAAUAUUAUAUGGGUUAUGCCUGGGAGCCCAUGCUUAUUCUAUUAUAUCUGAGUUUAGUCCCAUAUUGGAAAUUCAAGAUAUAUAGUAGUGGCUUAUGUACUCCAUCAUCCCAAAUUUAU